UUAAUUUGAGCCUCCCGAGUAAAUCAUCCUUUUUUGCUUUGUUCUGAAUAUUAUUAGGAAUAGUGUGUGUCUGUGACUGUGUUGACAUACAGUUCCUGUCGCUUUGCCAGUGAGGAUUCGUGCACUUCGGUGUAGAGAACCCUUUCUUUCCCUUGCUGUUUGUAAUGGAUGGAAGCUGUCACAUCUCUCUAAGCCUCGAACUCCUGGCCUGAUACUCAGUUGUCCGUCUGUCUUCAGAAAGUGAAGGCUGUGUAUGGAACAGUGGUUGGCAGUUUUCCUCAACUUUGCAAGAGAGAGAGAAUUGGUUGGAAUGAAACCUUGCUCUCCAUACAGUCCGCUUGAGAUGCAGCAUUGAAAGGUUACAGGAUUUCCUUUAUCUUGAUGGACCAAAAUGAUUCUCAGUUUGAUGAUGUUGGUCUGCUGGAAACAAGAGAGGAGGAGGAGGAGGAGGGAAGAACUUUAGAAUGAUAUUGUUGUUACUGCUGUGUUCAAAACCUAUUAUUUGCUGGAGUUUUCAGAAGUUUUUGAUUUGUUUUCCUUCUCUCUCUCUGACCUAAUUAAUUUUAUGGGACCUCCCCAUGGACAUAAUUUAUAUGACAAAUGAAUUACAUUAAAAGUUGCUGUCAUGGUAAGAAACCCCUAGUUUAUGGUAAAUCUAAUGUGUUUCCACAUUCUUUCCCUCUGUAAAUAGUGAUCUACUAGAGAUAAUUUGUUUUCUUUAUUUUUCAGAUAACUUUGGGUGUGUAGUGACUUUACUAUCAGUAUUAAAAAAAUAAAAAACAUAAAUAAAAAAGGAGAAACA
ensembl:lncRNA